UGGGGAAUAUUGCACAAUGGGCGCAAGCCUGAUGCAGCAACGCCGCGUGAAGGAUGAAGGCCUUCGGGUUGUAAACUUCUGUCCUAGGGGAAGAAACAAAUGACAUUACCCUUGGAGGAAGCCCCGGCUAACUACGUGCCAGCAGCCGCGGUAAUACGUAGGGGGCGAGCGUUAUCCGGAAUUAUUGGGCGUAAAGAGUGCGUAGGUGGCACCUUAAGCGCAGGGUUUAAGGCAAUGGCUCAACCAUUGUUCGCCUUGCGAACUGGGGUGCUUGAGUGCAGGAGGGGAAAGUGGAAUUCCUAGUGUAGCGGUGAAAUGCGUAGAUAUUAGGAGGAACACCAGUGGCGAAGGCGACUUUCUGGACUGUUACUGACACUGAGGCACGAAAGCGUGGGGAGCAAACAGG
rnacentral:rRNA from 1 species